UACGAAGGGGGCUAGCGUUGCUCGGAUUGACUGGGCGUAAAGGGCGCGUAGGCGGGUUGGACAGUCAGAUGUGAAAUUCCUGGGCUCAACCUGGGGGCUGCAUUUGAUACGUUCGGACUAGAGUGGGGAAGAGGGUCGUGGAAUUCCCAGUGUAGAGGUGAAAUUCGUAGAUAUUGGGAAGAACACCGGUGGCGAAGGCGGCGACCUGGUCCUUGACUGACGCUGAGGCGCGAAAGCGUGGGGAGCAAACAGG
rnacentral:rRNA from 1 species